rnacentral:lncRNA from 1 species
AGGACUCUCAGAUAAGUGAUACGAGGACUUGAUAUACCUUUCUAGAUGAGGCAUGCCUUCUUUGUUAGUGCCUCAUCUAGUGCUAUAAAUAGGGGAUGGCAGAUAGGGUAAUCAUUCAACUCUUACAUCUCCUAUCCACUCCCUCUCUCCCUCUCUUACAACUCUAGGUUUUAGGACAAGGCUUGUUCUUUUAAGACAAGCCUAAUCCUAAUAACUCUAAGGGUUUAAGAGGUCU